UACGUAGGGAGCAAGCGUUGUCCGGAAUCAUUGGGCGUAAAGCGCGCGUAGGUGGCUUCGUAAGUCCGUUGUGAAAGUCAAAGGCUCAACCUUUGAAAGCCGAUGGAUACUGCGGAGCUAGAGUACGGAAGAGGCGAGUGGAAUUCCUGGUGUAGCGGUGGAAUGCGCAGAUAUCAGGAGGAACACCAAUAGCGAAGGCAGCUCGCUGGGACGUUACUGACACUGGAGGCGCGAAAGCGUGGGGAGCGAACAGG
rnacentral:rRNA from 1 species